UCAAUAGCUCGAGGCAAGGUGCUCUCACGAAUCGCACCUUCCUAUUUCGACAAAACGUUCAAGAACUUCAGCGCUAUCUUGUUAAGUUCUGGAGUGGAGGCGGCCAAGAUCGGCGUUCGAAUCGGAGUUUAAAGAUAACGUGAUUUUUGGAGAGAGAAGGCAUCGCCGCCACGCGUCAGCCGCCAUACGGAGGAGCGCGGUAGGAUCGACGACCGACACGUGGCGACCGCGGGCUGGAGAAAUGCAUCAGGCGUGCACAACCGGGUCGGCCCGAGUCCGAACCGGCGCUCCGCACGCGAACCGAACCGCCC